GUUUCUCUCUAUCCCAAUUCUCUCUACAAUCUCUUUAGUUCAUAACAUAUCUGACUGGGGAUUUGGUUUUUUGUAAGUUUUAAGGUCAUAACAUCUAGGCUUGAGAAUUGGACCUUCUGGUUGGAGGUAUACAAGCAAGCUCUUGACGCAGCCUGUGUUUAUGGACAUUGCUUGGCUCUUGAUACAUCAUGAACUUUUCCUCCUCCACAUGCUGCAUGGCCUCUUUACAAAAAGACACCUGUUUUUUUUUUUUUUUUUUCAACUCUUUUAACCCAAGCCCUUUUAACUCAGGUCAUGCUCUUCUCUUAGAGAGACCUCUUCUUUUGACAACCUAACUCUGAUAACUAGCGACGUGCACCUCCGACCAUUGACCACAUAAAUCUUCGAUCAUCGACAAUAUAAAUUUCAGGCGAACUUCUCUCACUGUUUAAUUAAUUCUUCUGGGACGGUGGAUGAAGAUUCAAGAGUGUCCAAGACUAAGCAAUAUGUUAUCCAGUGAUGUCAACGUUGAUUUGCAAGCUUGAUGAGGAUGAUAUGAUCACAAAUAUAUUUUGGGCUGAUUCACGUUCUAUAAGUGACUAUUUCCUCUUUAGGGAUACGACAUAUCGAACAAAUGAAUAUGGUCGACCAUUUGCACCAUUUGUUAGGGUUAACCAUCAUAAUCAAACAAUUGUUUUUGGUGCAACUUUGUUGUACGAUGAAACUGCGAAAUCUUUUAAGUGGUUAUUUGAGACUUUUCCUUUCAACGAUGUCUGAAAAGCAACCAAAGACGAUUCUAACAGAUCGAUCUGCUGCAAUGGCUAGUGCAAUCUUAGAUGUAUUUCCUGAAACUUCUCACCGACUUUGUGUUUGGCAUAUUUAUAAGAAUACUGCUAAAAAUUUAAGUCAUGUUUUUAAUGGAUCAAAAGAAUUUGCUCGUGAUUUUAGCAUAUGUGUAUAUGAUCAUGAGGAUGUAAACGAGUGGUUGUUAGCAUGGAAUCAUAUGCUUGACAAGUAUAGCCUCAAGGGGAACAAGUGGUUGAAAGAAAUAUUUGAAUUGCGUGAAAAAUAGGCCCUUGUGUAUGGCAUAAAUACUUUCACGGCUGAUAUGAAAAGCACACAGCGUAGUGAAUGUAUGAACAAUGUCUUAAAAAAAUAUUUGAAGCCAAAGCAUAGUCUUUUGCCGU